rnacentral:rRNA from 1 species
GAUGAACGCUGGCGGCGUGCCUAAUACAUGCAAGUCGAGCGAACAGAUAAGGAGCUUGCUCCUUUGACGUUAGCGGCGGACGGGUGAGUAACACGUGGGUAACCUACCUAUAAGACUGGGAUAACUUCGGGAAACCGGAGCUAAUACCGGAUAAUAUUUCGAACCGCAUGGUUCGAUAGUGAAAGAUGGUUUUGCUAUCACUUAUAGAUGAACCCGCGCCGUAUUAGCUAGUUGGUAAGGUAACGGCUUACCAAGGCGACGAUACGUAGCCGACCUGAGAGGGUGAUCGGCCACACUGGAACUGAGACACGGUCCAGACUCCUACGGGAGGCAGCAGUAGGGAAUCUUCCGCAAUGGGCGAAAGCCUGACGGAGCAACGCCGCGUGAGUGAUGAAGGUCUUCGGAUCGUAAAACUCUGUUAUUAGGGAAGAACAUACGUGUAAGUAACUGUGCACGUCUUGACGGUACCUAAUCAGAAAGCCACGGCUAACUACGUG